GACGAACGCUGGCGGCGUGCUUAACACAUGCAAGUCGUGCGGAAAGGCCCUUUCGUUGGUACACGGGCGGCAGACGGGGGAGUGAGACUUGAGCAAGCUUCCCUUCCCUUUGGGACAACUGCCAGAAACGGUGGCCGAUACCGGAAAUGGCUUACUCACUCAUGCGGGGUGGUGGAAAGCCUUCGGGGGGUGGGGGAUGGGCUCUAGGUGGAUCGGCGUGUUGGUGGGGUGUUGGCCUACCAAGGGUUUGACAGGUAGCCGGCAUGUGAGGGUGACCGGCCACCAUGGGACUGCGACACGGCGCAGACUCGUACGGGAGGCAGCAGUGGGGAAUAUUGCACAAUGGGCGCAAGCCUGAUACAGCAACGCCGCGUGCGGGAUGACGGCCUUUGGGUUGUAAACAUCUUUCGCCUGAGACGAAGCGAGCGUGACGGUAGCAGGUAAAGAAGCACCGGCUAACUACGUG
rnacentral:rRNA from 1 species